CAAGCUUUGAAUCAUAGUUGCGUUGAUGCUUUCGGCCUCGUUUCUUAUUGGUAGCGAUUUGCUUUAGUUGAAACAGCAGUCAAUUUUUGCGGCAUAAACAAAGUCCAUGCACAAGCUGCUAACGUUUACGUUUGCCAACAUUUUCUUGCUUAUGAAUAGCGAUCGAUCAGAUAAACCGGCUGCGAUUGAUUACAUCACACACCACGAUUUGCGAACUUUGAUUUUUAAUUUACAUUCGAUUGUGGACGAAUUCUUGACAACCACCGCAUCAAAAAAUUGGGGUCAUUUUUACACUGAACUACUACUUCUAGGCGAUCAUCGAAAUUGCGUGCUUUGGAUGUUGGACCAAGAUGUGCUGUAGUGUAAUAGUCGAUAUAAUUUUUAAUGCAUGGGCGUCGCUGUUACUUGCCUCAAUUUUCAGACUGGAGUUUUCAAUCGAAACUCUUGAGAUCAAAAGCAUUUCAAUCCCUUGUGAUGAACAUGAUGGAACAACAGCCAUAUGAACAGAACGAAGUAAAUCGGUUCAAAGUCUUACUGAGAGAAACCAUACGUACUUUAUCAACUUUUUCUCAUGCUCAUUAUACACUCUUACAAGCAAUAGCACAAAGCUAGUAUACCUCUACGGUUCGGCAAGUGAUUUACACAUUGAAAAAUUUAUUCUUAAUAAUUGGUAGAAAUAUUUGGCAGUUAAGAAGUCAUAUGGUGCAUCAAGUCGUGUGCACGCUAAGCGGAAUAACAAUGCAGUUGUGUUUAGUCGGCACUUUGGUAUUAAUUAUAUCUUCAACUCGAACGCAGGCUACAGAAGAUAACAUCAAUUACGGUUCCGAUGAAUCUGACGAAUAUGACAGCGAUGACGACUAUGAAGU